GGCGGCAUNCUUUACACAUGCAAGUCGAACGGUAACAGGGUGCUUGCACCGCUGACGAGUGGCGAACGGGUGAGUAAUGCGUCGGAACGUGCCGAGUAGUGGGGGAUAACGCAGCGAAAGUUGUGCUAAUACCGCAUACGUACUGAGGUAGAAAGUGGGGGACCUUCGGGCCUCACGCUAUUCGAGCGGCCGACGUCUGAUUAGCUAGUAGGUGAGGUAAAGGCUCACCUAGGCGACGAUCAGUAGCGGGUCUGAGAGGAUGAUCCGCCACACUGGGACUGAGACACGGCCCAGACUCCUACGGGAGGCAGCAGUGGGGAAUUUUGGACAAUGGGCGAAAGCCUGAUCCAGCCAUGCCGCGUGUCUGAAGAAGGCCUUCGGGUUGUAAAGGACUUUUGUCAGGGAGGAAAUCCCUAGUGCUAAUAACACUGGGGGAUGACAGUACCUGAAGAAUAAGCACCGGCUAACUACGUGCCAGCAGC
rnacentral:rRNA from 1 species